AUAGGAGGAGAUUCAGGAUUAGUUAAAGAUGUUAAAACUCAUCGGGUAAAGGUUUUUUGAGAGAUAUAAGUAGCACGCUACCCGCUUCAUUUAUUUUAUUUAAAAAUUAACUUAGGUAGAAAUAUGAAUCAAUUAGGAUUCAAACUUGAGAUCUCAGAUACCAAGUACCAAGUCUUUGACAGUUGUUUCUAUCAAUAUUUAUUUGCUAAAGUUAAAAAAGAAAAGUUAUUGUAAAGG
rnacentral:lncRNA from 1 species